UGAGUUUGACUUUGGCUCUGAGUGAACGCGUGCAAAAUCUCUUGACACAUGCGAAUUUUAAAGAGUUAUGUUUUUAACUUUUUGGUGUAUUGGUGAGUAAUAUGUGGUAUUCUACCCAAAAGUUUAUUUUAAAAAUAAAUAACCUUAAUUUAAAACUUUUAACAAAAUACAAAUCAAUCAAUUUUUUUGUGGUUAAAUUAAAUUUUGGGAAAACCUAGAGGGCUUUUGGAGGGAACUACAUAAAGGUAGGUUUUUAGUUUUUUUAGUGCUAAGCCUAGGACCUUUAGCCGUUUUGAAAGAUUGAUCGGUCACAUGGGAACUGAAAAACGUCCCACCGUUGGCAGCAGUGGAGAAUAUUGGUCAAUUAACGAGAGUUAGAACCAGGGUUUUGCGUGGAUGAGAGGUUUAAAUACAAACCGCGAAGACUACGGUAGUUGUAAAGUUCGUGCGCAGAUGUAAAUUAUGACAUAUAAAUUUGAGGAGAACCCCGGGCUAACAACGUGCCAGCAGCUGCGGUAAUACGUUGAAGGGGGAGCGUUACUGGUCAUUAUUAGGCGUAAAGUAUGGCUAGAUGGUUUAGUAACUUUAUGAUUAAAUCGAAGGCGUACCUAAGAUUUCAUUUAAAGUCUAAUACUAGAGAUUGUAAGAAGUUAACAAUAUGUAUAUUCUAGAGAUAAAAUUCUAAAAGAAUAUAAAGAUUUUCAACAGCCACGGCAGUUAACUAUUAUUAAUCUGACAUCGAACCAUUAAAGUAUAAGUAUCAACUAGGAUUGGAGACCCUAUAAGUUUAUACCGUGAAUCAAUGGACAUUUUAUAUUUAAUAAAUAAAUUAAGUGAAUAAGCUAACGCGUAAAUGUCUCGCCUGGGGAGUAAGGCUGCAAAGGUAAAACUUAAAAAGAUUGGCGGGAGUUUGUAUGAACGGUGGAGCGUGUGGUUUAAUUCGAUAAUCCGCGUGUAAUCUUACCAAUGUAGGGAGUGAAGUUAAUAUAAUUUUUAAUUAAAAAUAUUGAAACUAAUCUAAGUGGUACUGCAUGGCUGUCGUCAGUUCGUGUUGUAAAAUGUAAUAUUAAGUUAUUAAACGAACGUAACCUUUUCUAUAUCUUUUAUAAGAACUACUUUUUGAAGGCACAACCUAAGUUCUUACUUAAGUUGCUCAAAAAGAAUUUUUAUGGGUUAUAGCAUAACAAAACAAGUUUACACUUCUUAGAUUUUUUAAACUAAGGAUAAUAAUUUAUUUUGUGGAAGUUAAGGAGAAGUCAAGUCAUUAUGGUCUAGAUAUGUUGGGCUACACAUGCGCUACAAGGGCAAAAACAAUAAGAUGCGAUAAUGAAAGUUAAAGCAAAUCUUUAAAAAUUGCCGUAGUUCGGAUUGUAGACUGGAACUCGUUUACAUGAAGUCGGAAUCGUUAGUAAUCGUAAAUUAGUAUGUUACGGUGAAUGAUGAAUCAAACUUUGCACACACCGCCCAUCACGCCCGAAGAGUCACGACGGUUAGAAAUUCUACCCACCAGUAACUUAAAAAUAAAAAGUAUAUGCUGUAUAAUGUUGAAAAAUAGUAAACAGAGUGUAUUAAAUUUAUU
rnacentral:rRNA from 1 species